rnacentral:rRNA from 1 species
AUACGUAGGUGCCAAGCGUUAUCCGGAUUUACUGGGCGUAAAGGGCGUGUAGGCGGUCUUGCAAGUCAGAAGUGAAAUUCCUGAGCUCAACUCGGGCGCUGCUUCUGAAACUGCAGGACUUGAGUGCUGGAGGGGAUAGCGGAAUUCCUAGUGGAGCGGUAAAAUGCGCAGAUAUUAGGAAGAACACCGGGGGCGAAGGCGGCUAUCUGGACAGUACCUGACGUGGGGGCGCGAAAGCGUGGGGAGCAAACAGGAUUAGAUACCCUGGUAUUCCACGCCGUAAACGAUGAAUACUAGGUGUAGGGGGUAUCGACUCCCUCUGUGCCACAGUUAACACAAUAAGUAUUCCGCCUGGGGAGUACGGCCGCAAGGUUGAAACUCAAAUGAAUUGACGGGG